AGAGUUUGAUCCUGGCUCAGGACGAACGCUGGCGGCGUGCUUAACACAUGCAAGUCGAACGAGGCGCUUGCGCCUAGUGGCGAACGGGUGAGUAACACGUGAGCAACCUGCCCUUGGCUUCGGGAUAGCCUCCGGAAACGGGGAUUAAUACCGGGUAUGACCUGCUCCUGCAUGGGGGCGGGUGGAAAGUUUUUCGGCCA
rnacentral:rRNA from 1 species